rnacentral:rRNA from 1 species
UACGUAGGGUGCAAGCGUUGUCCGGAAUUAUUGGGCGUAAAGAGCUCGUAGGCGGUUUGUCGCGUCUGCUGUGAAAUCUGGAGGCUCAACCUCCAGCCUGCAGUGGGUACGGGCAGACUAGAGUGCGGUAGGGGAGAUUGGAAUUCCUGGUGUAGCGGUGAAAUGCGCAGAUAUCAGGAGGAACACCGGUGGCGAAGGCGGGUCUCUGGGCCGAUACUGACGCUCAUGCACGAAAGCGUGGGGAGCAAACAGG